AGUUAAUGACGGAAUGGCUCAGAUAAUGCUUCAGUUUAAAAAUGAAAUUGAGACUAUGAACAAAGAAAUGAUGAGUGCAAUGAAAGAACAACUUAAAAUUGGUCUCCUUGGUCUACAGAUCAUUUAGACAAUGGACUCGACUAAUGGACUGAAGAAUGCUCAAUCAGACAAGAAGAUAAUGGCUGCCACUGACCAAGCAUUCCUUGACAUGCUCAAUUCUCUCAUUGAAAUGAUGACACAAGAACUGAACAAGAUUGACAGAAUAAA